rnacentral:tRNA from 1 species
GGUUGUGGCUCAGUGGGUAGAGCACUUGCCUAGCAAGUGUGAGGUGCUGGGUUUGAUUCUCAGCACCG